rnacentral:rRNA from 1 species
CGAAGCGAGUUGUAGUUGUUGUUGUUCUAGUUGGAAACAAUUAAUUGUCAUUCACUUGGCAGUUUAUUAAUUUCAACCACCUUGAAGAAAUUAGAGUGUUCAAAGCAGGUAGAUCUCAGAUAAAUCAGCAUGGGAAUGGUAGAAGAAGAUUUUUUACUCAAAAAAUAAUGAUAAACAGCGGCAGUUGGGGGCAUUUGUAUUUGGCAGCUAGAGGUGAAAUUCUUGGAUUUGCCGAGGACAAACGACUGCGAAAGCAUUUGCCAAGAUGCACGCAUUAAUUAUGCACGAAGGACGAGGGAUCUAAGGCGAUCAGAUACCGCUGUCGUCUCGUCAGUAAACUAUGCCGACUGGGGGGUGUGUUUCUCUAAGAAGUUGCGCACCACCUGAAGAGAAAUCUGAAGUGAGGUUCGGGGGGGAGUAUGGUCGCAAGGCUGAAACUUAAAGGAAUUGACGGAAGGACACCACCAGGUGUGGAGCCUGCGGCUUAAUUUGACUCAACACGGGGAAACUCACCAGGUCCAGACACGAUGAGGAUUGACAGAUUGAGAGUUCUUUCAAGAUUUUGUGGAUGGUGGUGCAUGGCCGUUCUUAGUUGGUGGAGUGAUUUGUCUGGUUAAUUUCGAUAACGGGCGGGGUUGAGAUGGGUGGUUGGAUUAAUUGAGAAUUAAUUUUCUACCCAGACGACUGGUG